AUUGAACGCUGGCGGCACGUCUAACACAUGCAAGUCGAGCGGUAACAUGAUAAGUAGCAAUACUAAUUGAUGACGAGCGGCGGACGGGUGAGGAACACGUAGGAACUUGCCUAUCAGAGGGGGACAACCAAGGGAAACUUUGGCUAAUACCGCAUAUUCUCGAGAGAGGAAAGUUGCCCGCAAGGGUGAUACUGAUAGAGAGGCCUGCGUCCGAUUAGCUAGUUGGUGAGGUAAUAGCUUACCAAGGCGAGGAUCGGUAACUGGUCUGAGAGGACGACCAGUCACACUGGGACUGAGACACGGCCCAGACUCCUACGGGAGGCAGCAGUGGGGAAUCUUGGACAAUGGGGGCAACCCUGAUCCAGCGAUGCCGCGUGGGUGAAGAAGGCCUUCGGGUUGUAAAGCCCUUUAGGUCGGGACAAAGAGUAUGUGGGGAUAAUCCAUGUACUUUGAUGGUACCGACAGAAUAAGCACCGGCAAACUCUGUGCCAGCAGCCGCGGUAAUACAGAGGGUGCGAGCGUUAAUCGGAAUUACUGGGCGUAAAGGGCGCGUAGGCGGUUUAGUGGGUGUGAUGUGAAAGCCCUGGGCUUAACCUAGGAAGCGCAUCGCAAACUACUGAACUGGAGUAGAUGAGAGGGUGGCGGAAUUUCCGGUGUAGCGGUGAAAUGCGUAGAGAUCGGAAGGAACGUCGAUGGCGA
rnacentral:rRNA from 1 species